AGCGACAGAGCAAGACUCUGUCUCAAAAAAACAACAACAAGGCCAAAUGUCACCCCAUGAUCUUAACAAGGGAACAGUCAGAAUCCAAAUCCUAAGCACACAAAGCUACUUUCUUAAGGGCAAUGGGAGAGGGAAAUUGUGAUGGCCCCAAGCUAGAACCUAAAUUACACCUUUACUUUAGAACUGAGUAUAGAAGGAUACAUAUCCUAGGGCACAGAUGGGACACCUCUGUCGAUGCUAGAAGAAUUCUAUGUGUGUUUGGAGGUGGCAUAGCAUACCUGUUAGAAAGGCUUUGCUAUUUACUACUGUGGGACCACAAGCAAGUUAUCUCUUUUCUGAACCUCAGUUUCCUCAACUAUAAAAAAGAGAUACGGAUGCUUAGCUAAUAUUGCUGGAAUUGAAUGCAGAAAUGAAAGAAAGCUUUUAGCACAGGGCUUUACCCUAACAGGCACUUACUGUUAAGAGUGGUUUAUUACCAGGUAGGUAACUAAGCAAGGAAGAUGUGUGUUAAUCAAUUUGGCAUGAGAUUUAAAAUUUUAUUACCCAACACAUUAUUUUCACUAAAGUAUCCUUGGUUAAAACUCAGUUAAUACUAGCAUUUAAUAAGAUAACUCAAAUUUCUCCAAAAAAAUGGACAAAUUGGAUGUCUUCAAUUCACUUGACUUACAAAAUGGUUUUAAUAUGAGAAUUGUCUAGUCAUAAGUUGUCACUCAAGAACAAAAAUUAUCUGUUCUGGCACUAACUGGCAUGUGAUUCUGGUGAGGCACAUCAUGACUCUGGGUCUCCUCUACAAGGAGGGGGUUGUGGGAGUGCCCUGGUUCCUUCCAUCUUGAACAUUCGUGAUUCCAAAGUAGCACUCCAGCAUAGCCCUGAUUUACUUCUAGUUCCUUUCCUUUUCAGGACAUUGACAUAAAGUAGAACUUGCUUCCAAUACGUCUUAAAGGUUAAAUGUUACACACAGCGUACAGUCAAUGCAAGGAGGCCUGCACACAGGGAACUUCUGUCUAGGACUGCGGCCGGUAAGACCUUCCUGUGUGGACCACAGCACUGCUCAGGAAAGCUGCCUGCAGGAGCUGUGAAGUUGCAGAAUUUUGGUUUAUUGGGAUGCAUCCUGGUGCUUGCCUACAGAUCUUGUUUUGCAAAGUGCAGAGGCAAUACAUGGAGAUGCAGCAGCCAUCUUGUGACCAUGAGGACAAAGAUCAUUUACCAAGGAUGACAGAAGAGAAAGUUAGCAAGAGCCUUGACCCCUGAUGAGGUGAAGUCAUUUCACCAGCCUAUCACAGCUUCUAGUCUUCUUGGGAAUCCAUUCCACCCUGAAACAUUUUGGGGCCUGUACUAGAUACUAGAGACACAAAGGAGACUAGAACAUUCUCUGUCGUUGAAUUAUUCUCAGUCAAAUGAAGACGGAAACUGUGGUCUGAAAAUUUUGAAUAAUAAAGCCAUUUGUGACAGCGACACAGCUCAUAUUGGAAGUGGAACUUACAUUUCCUGACUCAUAAUGAAGACCUUUAUGCUCAACACCACAUACAAAACAUGUGCGAUGUAUAAAAUGGAUGUUGCAAAUUCAUCCCACCUCCUGCUGCAGCUAUGAUACUCAGAGAAAUGAGAAUAUUCAAAACCUUCUCUUCUAAACAACCCACCAAAUGAGAGAAAAUAUUUGCAAACUACACGUCUGACAAAGGAUUAAU
rnacentral:lncRNA from 1 species